UACGAAGGUCCCGAGCGUUGUUCGGAAUCACUGGGCGUAAAGGGAGCGUAGGCGGCGCGGUAAGUCAGAUGUGAAAUCCCGGGGCUCAACCCCGGAACUGCAUCCGAUACUGCCGUGCUAGAGUAAUGGAGGGGUAGCUGGAAUUCUCGGUGUAGCAGUGAAAUGCGCAGAUAUCGAGAGGAACACUCGUGGCGAAAGCGAGCUACUGGACAUUUACUGACGCUGAGGCUCGAAGGCUAGGGGAGCGAAAGGG
rnacentral:rRNA from 1 species